rnacentral:misc_RNA from 1 species
CGCACAUUGCGCCCGCUGGAAUUCCGGCGGGCAUGCCUGUUCGAGCGUCAUUUCAACCCUCAAGCCUAGCUUGGUGUUGGGGCACUACCCGUCCAACGGUAGGCCCUGAAAUUCAGUGGCGGGCUCGCUAAGACUCUGAGCGUAGUAGUUUACCACCUCGCUUUGGAAGGAUUAGCGGUGCCCCUGCCGUAAAACCCCCCAACUUCUGAAAAUUUGACCUCGGAUCAGGUAGGAAUACCCGCUGAACUUAA